GUUUGGGUGGCGGACGGGUGAGUAACGCGUAAAGAACUUACCUCACAGAUAGGGACAACAUUUGGAAACGAAUGCUAAUACUUGAUAUUAUGAUUUUAGGACAUCCUAGAAUUAUGAAAGCUAUAUGCGCUGUGAGAGAGCUUUGCGUCCCAUUAGCUAGUUGGAGAGGUAACGGCUCACCAAGGCGAUGAUGGGUAGCCGGCCUGAGAGGGUGAUCGGCCACACUGGGACUGAGACACGGCCCAGACUCC
rnacentral:rRNA from 1 species